rnacentral:rRNA from 1 species
UACGAAGGGGGCUAGCGUUGCUCGGAAUUACUGGGCGUAAAGGGCGCGUAGGCGGCACUGUUAGUCAGGCGUGAAAUUCCUGGGCUCAACCUAGGGACUGCGCUUGAUACGGCAGAGCUUGAGGAUGGAAGAGGGUCGCGGAAUUCCCAGUGUAGAGGUGAAAUUCGUAGAUAUCGGGAGGAACACCAGUGGCGAAGGCGGCCACCUGGACGGAUACUGACGCUGAGACGCGAAAGCGUGGGGAGCAAACAGG